UACAGAGGGUGCGAGCGUUGUUCGGAAUUACUGGGCGUAAAGCGCGCGUAGGUGGUGUGUUAAGUCUGCCGGUCAAAUGCCGAGGCUCAACCUCGUUGCACGCCGGGGAUACUGGCACGCUAGAGACAAGUAGAGGCAAGCGGAAAUUCCGGGUGUAGCGGUGGAAUGCGUAGAGAUCCGGAAGAACACCGGAGGCGAAGGCGGCUUGCUGGGCUUGGUCUGACGCUGAGGCGCGAAAGCGUGGGGAGCGAACAGG
rnacentral:rRNA from 1 species